rnacentral:rRNA from 1 species
CGUAGGGGGCAAGCGUUAUCCGGAUUUACUGGGUGUAAAGGGAGCGUAGGUGGCAGGGCAAGUCAGAUGUGAAAUCCCGGGGCUCAACCCCGGUCUUGCAUUUGAAACUGUCCAGCUGGAGUGCAGGAGAGGUAAGCGGAAUUCCUAGUGUAGCGGUGAAAUGCGUAGAUAUUAGGAGGAACACCAGUGGCGAAGGCGGCUUACUGGACUGUAACUGACACUGAGGCUCGAAAGCGUGGGGAGCAAA